UCUCUCCUCCAAUCUGUUUCUCCGGGCACCGACCCAGAGUCCGGCGAAGGGACCACCGCGUCGGCCACCGGUCACCGGUCACCGGUGAAGGCACCGCCAUAUGCGGUGGCCAAAAAAAAGAAAACCUCGGAUCCGGUCUUUUCAAACCCCCUAAACCCAGAUCUCAGUCCAAAAUCCCCAAAAUAUUAGCAAAAACCCCCCAAAAAAGAAAAAAACAAAGAAACCUUUCGGUUUCCUGCCACCUAUCCUAGGAGGUGACUAAUUCGGCCGUCCUGGCGGCGUUACAGAAUCGAGCAAAGGUGAAGGCGUGCGCGCGGAGACUUGGCUCGUGCGAAGGGGCUUGGCUACGGCGCUGAUGUUUACCCUAGAAACCCUAGGGAUUUUUGAAACUCAUUUGGGCCGCGUUGUAAUUGGACCAUUGUUUUUCAAAUGGGUCUGGGGUUUGUAAUUUGGGCCUAUUUUAUUGUAAAUGGACUGUUACAUUUGGACCCUUUUUUAUUAUUUGGUUUUAAUAGACCCGGGGCAAAAUCGGGAUUACAAUUUCAA